rnacentral:rRNA from 1 species
UACGAAGGGGGCUAGCGUUGCUCGGAAUCACUGGGCGUAAAGGGUGCGUAGGCGGGUCUUUAAGUCAGGGGUGAAAUCCUGGAGCUCAACUCCAGAACUGCCUUUGAUACUGAAGAUCUUGAGUUCGGGAGAGGUGAGUGGAACUGCGAGUGUAGAGGUGAAAUUCGUAGAUAUUCGCAAGAACACCAGUGGCGAAGGCGGCUUACUGGUCCGGAACUGACGCUGAGGUGCGAAAGCGUGGGGAGCAAACAGG